UCAGCUCGUGUCGUGAGAUGUUGGGUUAAGUCCGCAACGGCGCAACCCUUAUGGUUAGUUGCCAGCGGAUCAUGCCGGGCACUCUAGCUGAACUGCCGUUGACAAAACGGAGGAAGGUGGGGAUGACGUCAAAUCAUCAUGCCCUUUAUGUCCUGGGCUACACACGUGCUACAAUGGCCUGUACAGAGGGAAGCGAAAGGGUGACCUGGAGCGAAUCCCAAAAAGCAGGUCUCAGUUCGGAUUGCAGGCUGCAACCCGCCUGCAUGAAGUCGGAAUCGCUAGUAAUCGCAGGUCAGCAUACUGCGGUGAAUACGUUCCCGGGCCUU
rnacentral:rRNA from 1 species